AAUGCAAGUGUUUCCUUCCUUUGUAGGUUACAUUGGAAAUGUUCCAGUUUUGCUUGCAAAACCACAAACUUUUAUGAAUGCAAGUGGUGAGUCUGUUGGAGCAAUUGUUUCAUAUUACAAGAUUCCACUGAAGCAAGUACUUGUGAUUUUUGACGACUUAGAUUUGCCUUUUGCAAAAUUACGGUUAUUGCCGAAAGGUGGACAUGGAGGACAUAACGGGUAUUUAUCAUGUCAAUGUAUUCUAUUUUCAUCUAAAAUCUAAUACUAAGCAUUUAUUAUGCAUGUUGAGUCUAAGAAGAAUGGACAUUCUAAGAAGGUGGUGUGUCUGUGUCAAACACUCUAGUCAAACACUUCCUAACACUUAUUGAACACACUUUCAAUCGUGUUUAUGUUUUAAAUUUUUUUGGACACCCAAAAUUCAUGUGUCCAUUUGUUAGACAUACAUGAAACGUAUUAUAAAUUUGAACAAAAUAACUUAGAAUAUAAUAGUAAACUAUGAAGCAUGGGUACUCUGAAAAUGUUGCCAUACUCAUACCAAUAAGGCUGCAUGCGUUCCGGGUACUCGAA